rnacentral:rRNA from 1 species
UGGCUUGGAAGCAGCCAUUCAUUUAAAGAGUGCGUAACAGCUCACUAGUCGAGCGGACGAGCAUGGAUAAUAAUCGGGCAUAAACAUAUUACCGAAGCUAUGGAUUAACGUUGAAAGACACGUUAGUGGUAGGGGAGCAUUGUAACCUGCGUAGAAGGUGUGCUGUGAGGCAUGCUGGAGUGGUUACAAAAGAAAAUGUAGGCAUAAGUAACGAUAAUGGGGGCGAGAAACCCCCACACCGAAAGACUAAGGUUUCCUCAGCGAUGCUAAUCAGCUGAGGGUUAGUCGGGUCCUAAGGCGAAUCCGAAGGGAGUAGUCGAUGGAUAACAGGUUAAUAUUCCUGUACUUCUUAUAAUUGCGAUGGGGUGACGGAGUAUUGAAAGCACCGCGAACUGACGGAAUAGUUCGUUGAAGACUGUAUCUAUAAGAUCUGUAGGCAAAUCCGCAGAUUUUGGAGAAGGUUGAUAGUACUACAAAGCUUCGGCUGCGUAGAUAGUGUGCCUAAAAGCUUCCAAGAAAAACCUCUAAGCUUCAGAUUAUAAGAACCCGUACCGUAAACCGACACAGGUAGUUGGGAUGAGAAUUCUAAGGUGCUCGAGAGAUUCAUGGCUAAGGAACUAGGCAAAAUCGACCCGUAACUUCGGGAGAAGGGUCGCCCAUCUUCGGAUGGGCCGCAGUGAAAAGGUCCAGGCGACUGUUUAUCAAAAACACAGGGCUUUGCUAAAUUGAAAGAUGAUGUAUAAGGCCUGACACCUGCCCGGUGCUGGAAGGUUAAGUGGAGGGCUUAGACGCUUGCGUCGAAGGUCUGAAAUGAAGCCCCAGUAAACGGCGGCCGUAACUAUAACGGUCCUAAGGUAGCGAAAUUCCUUGUCGGGUAAGUUCCGACCUGCACGAAUGGUGCAACGAUCUGGACACUGUCUCAGCCAUGAGCUCGGUGAAAUUGUAGUAUCGGUGAAGAUGCCGAUUACCCGCAGCGGGACGAAAAGACCCCGUGAACCUUUACUAUAGCUUAGUAUUGGCUUUGGAUAAGUAAUGUGUAGGAUAGGUGGGAGACAUUGAAGUGGCGUCGCUAGGCGUUGUGGAGUCGUCCUUGAAAUACCACCCUUUGCUUAUCUAGAGUCUAACUCAGAGAUGAGGACAGUGCUUGGUGGGUAGUUUGACUGGGGUGGUCGCCUCCAAAAGAGUAACGGAGGCUUCUAAAGGUACCCUCAGCACGCUUGGUAACCGUGCGUAGAGUGCAAUGGCAUAAGGGUGCUUGACUGAGAGACAUACAGGUCGAUCAGGUUGGAAACAAGAGCAUAGUGAUCCGGUGGUUCCGCAUGGAAGGGCCAUCGCUCAAAGGAUAAAAGGUACUCCGGGGAUAACAGGCUGAUCUCCCCCAAGAGCUCA